rnacentral:tRNA from 1 species
GGGUCCAUAGCUCAGCGGUUAGAGCACCCGGCUCAUAACCGGAGGGUCCCUGGUUCAAAUCCAGGUGGGCCCA